CCGGCACGGGUGAGUAACACGUAUCCAACCUGCCGUCUACUCUUGGCCAGCCUUCUGAAAGGAUGAUUAAUCCAGGAUGGGAUCAUGAGUUCACAUGUCCGCAUGAUUAAAGGUAUUUUCCGGUAGACGAUGGGGAUGCGUUCCAUUAGAUAGUAGGCGGGGUAACGGCCCACCUAGUCAACGAUGGAUAGGGGUUCUGAGAGGAAGGUCCCCCACAUUGGAACUGAGACACGGUCCAA
rnacentral:rRNA from 1 species